CCUACGGGUGGCAGCAGUGAGGAAUAUUGGUCAAUGGACGAGAGUCUGAACCAGCCAAGUAGCGUGAAGGAUGACUGCCCUAUGGGUUGUAAACUUCUUUUAUAUGGGAAUAAAAUGUUCCACGUGUGGGAUUUUGUAUGUACCAUAUGAAUAAGGAUCGGCUAACUCCGUGCCAGCAGCCGCGGUAAUACGGAGGAUCCGAGCGUUAUCCGGAUUUAUUGGGUUUAAAGGGAGCGUAGGGGGAUUGUUAAGUCAGUUGUGAAAGUUUGCGGCUCAACCGUAAAAUUGCAGUUGAAACUGGCAGUCUUGAGUACAGUAGAGGUGAGCGGAAUUCGUGGUGUAGCGGUGAAAUGCUUAGAUAUCACGAAGAACUCCGAUUGCGAAGGCAGUUCACUGGACUGCAACUGACACUGAGGCUCGAAAGUGUGGGUAUCAAACAGGAUUAGAUACCCGGGUAGUC
rnacentral:rRNA from 1 species